UUUUAGUAUUUCGUUCUUUUGAUUCACAUGUUUGAGUGGGGAAGACGUCUAAAUUUGUUGAAAAUAAAUAUUAUUUCUAACUUAAAACCUAUAUAAUAAAUAUAAAAUGGUUACUUGACUAUCCAUCGCGAGGUCAUUUAUGGCCAUAACUCUGGAAAUUAUUCAAUUAGUGAUGAAAGAAAAAAAAGGCGCUCCAUGAUGCAGCCUUUGCCCCACGUGGUUUAUGUAUAAACUUCACAAUUUUUACCUGGAGGAAUUACUAAAUUGACACUAUGAAUAUGUGACAACUUUGUAGGAAUCAAAAGGAGGAAGAAAUUUCACAUUUCGAGUUGCAGCAGACCCAUUGGGAGGUGUCUUUUCCCAAUGAAAUGGGCCAAAUAGGUUCCAUUUGCUGCUGCGCCAUUGAAUUAACUGAAUAUGGGUAUAUACACAUUAUUAUCAAAUAAUAAUAAUAAUAAUAAAAAAAAAAUUAUCAUGUCUUUUAUUUAAAUAUACAAAAAAGCAAUAAUUCAUAUCAAUCUUA